rnacentral:rRNA from 1 species
AGCGAACGCUGGCGGCAGGCUUAACACAUGCAAGUCGAGCGCCGUAGCAAUACGGAGCGGCAGACGGGUGAGUAACACGUGGGAACGUACCUUUUGGUUCGGAACAACACAGGGAAACUUGUGCUAAUACCGGAUAAGCCCUUACGGGGAAAGAUUUAUCGCCGAAAGAUCGGCCCGCGUCUGAUCAGCUAGUUGGUGAGGUAACGGCUCACCAAGGCGACGAUCAGUAGCUGGUCUGAGAGGAUGAUCAGCCACACUGGGACUGAGACACGGCCCAGACUCCUACGGGAGGCAGCAGUGGGAAUAUUGGACAAUGGGCGCAAGCCUGAUCCAGCCAUGCCGCGUGAGUGAUGAAGGCCCUAGGGUUGUAAAGCUCUUUUGUGCGGGAAGAUAAUGACUGUACCGCAAGAAUAAGCCCCGGCUAACUUCGUGCCAGCCGCCGCAGUAA